rnacentral:rRNA from 1 species
UGCUUUUGUAGCAAUACGAGAGUAUCCUAGUGGCGAACGGGUGAGUAACGCGUUGGUGACCUACCCCAAAGUGUGGGAUAACAGUCCGAAAGGAUUGCUAAUACCGCAUGUGGUUAUUGGAUCUAGAAACCGAUAACUAAAGGAGCAAUUCGCUUUGGGAGGGACCUGCGUCCCAUCAGCUAGUUGGUGAGGUAAUGGCUCACCAAGGCUACGACGGGUAGGGGACCUGAGAGGGUGACCCCCCACAAUGGAACUGAAACACGGUCCAUACACCUACGGGUGGCAGCAGUAGGGAAUAUUGCACAAUGGGCGAAAGCCUGAUGCAGCAACGCCGCGUGCACGAUGAAGGCCUUCGGG